rnacentral:lncRNA from 1 species
CUAUCCUCAAAGUUACCCCGGAAAAACAAACUGUUCCAACCCCCAUGCGGAAGUACAAUGCCAAUGCGAAUAUCAUCACCACGGAAGACAAUAAAAUUCACAUUCACCUGGGUUCUCAGUUUAAGCGAUCUCCCGGGCCUGCAGCAGCGGAAGGCGUGAGUCCAGUUAUCACGGUCCGGCCUGUCAACGUAACAGCCGAGAAGGAGGUUUCUACGGGCACAGUCCUUCGCUCUCCCAGGAACCACCUCUCUUCAAGACCUGGUGCUAACAAAGUGACCAGCACUAUAACCAUAACCCCGGUCACAACGUCAUCCACACGAGGAACCCAAUCAGUGGUCAGGACAAGAUGGGUCAUCUCAGCGGCCUACACCCACCCGCAUCCCCAUGUCAAAAGAAAGCGUCAUCAUUCACCAGUUGCGAGUGAGCUCCAGAUGAGAUUACCAAGCACAGCCCACAGUCAUCGCUAAAGUCACCAUGCUACUGAUGUUGACUGGAAACACCUUAGGACCUCCAGUGAUCUUUUCUUCCUUCCUUCCUUCCUUCCUUCCUUCCUUCCUUCCUUUCCUUCCUUCCUUCCUUCCUUCCUUCCUUCCUUCCUUCCUUCCUUCCUUCCUUCCUUCCUCCUUCCUUCCUUUCCUUUCCUUCCUUCCUUCCUUCCUUCCUUCCUUCCUUCCUUCCUUUCUUUCUCUUUCUUGCUCUCUCUUUUUUUUUGAGGAUACAACUUAGCAGUUAAAAAAACAUAUUGUGGAUGGCAUGAACAUAUGUGGCAAACCCAGUUGAAUCUUUGUGCCCAGAGAAAGUUUUCUUCCCUUUACAAAGUUUUCAGGUCUGUGGGCAUAUGCUGUAUAAUUUAUUUGUAUAAUACUUUUUGUAAUGUGAUCCCCCCCAAAUUGUCUCCUUUCUCAUAGUCCCUGGCACAUGUAUCUGUAGACUGUACUGUCAAUUCUUUGAAGUAUUGCAUAUUCAAAAGAGGUUAACAUAUCGUUCUCCUUUAUUAAUUUGUUGUUUUUAAGAAAGAGAAAGCACAGCACUCGAUUUCCCUGGACAACGUUAAAAGGUAAAACCGAGGAACAGGAGAUCCUGGGAGUUCCACGGCUUGAACGGUGCUAUGGUUCUGAUCGCGGCCCAACACGGAAAACACUGUCCUGACUUAGGAGUUUAAGUACUUAAAACCAACAUGUAACUGUCUCCUUUGGUGUUCUGAGUGAGAAACAAACAGCUUUGACUGACAGUCAAUUUUAUUUCUAUCUGCAUUGUUUAACUCUGUGUACAAAACAUAAUAGUGACUUUGAUGUCCCUGUAUUUCCCACAUAUUAGUGCCCCCGUGAAAGCUUUCAAAUAAAAACCGACCUAAAUAAUGUCCACUUAAAAAAAAAGUAGGGAGACCCAAAGGUAUAUAAUCACUUCACUCCAAUUUUGAUAGGUUUUUCAAAACAACUUGUAGGUAGAAAAAACAACUACUACUACUCCUUUUUCCUUCCCCUCCUCCUCCUCUUCCUCCUCCUCCUCCCCCUUCCUCCCCCCACCCCCACCCCAGUCGUCAUCUUGGUACAGGCUCUUGCUAUGUAUCUCUAGCUAGCCUAAAACUGGUUUUGUAGACCAGGCUGGCCUUGAAGUCCCAGGGAUCCUGUCUGUGCCUCUCACAUGUGUUAAGACUAAAGGCAUGUGCCACCAAACCCAGCUAAAAUAUAUUUAUAUUUUAAAGAAUUAAAAGUCCACCAUUUGCUAUUCGCCUCAUUGUCAGAGCUGCUGUUGAAUUUAUGUAAAAAUAUGACGUCUACUUGGAACUCUAGUUUAAAAAAUCCCGUUGACGAGAGUGUAGUUCUUAUAAGAUCUUUAAACAUAACUAUAAGGAUAAGCGCUGACACUCGGUUUCUAAAUGAAGAAGUCAUUUACCUUGCUACUCUAGUGUGAUUAAAGAGCCAAGGCAUCUUCUGAAUGUUAAGAGGUAAGUCAAGUCACGAAAGCCAUGUGCUGGAGGCUCACCUCUGUCCACAAGCUGUACCCUUAUCAGCUGCAGAGGGGCGUUUACAGAGUCUCUGGAAUAGGAAGCACAAUGCUAAACCCUCAUGUAACCUAGAGGGUUUUUAAUAUAUUCUGUGGAACUGACAAAUCAUAUUCAAUACAUACCAUAAAUUAAAUAUUUUCUAAAAAAAAAUCUUGCAUUUGUUUAAAGUAAAAUAAAUGUCAUGUUAGACUUGCCCAAACUUUAAUGAUAGUGGAAGUCUCACAUAACCUUUGUGGUUUUGAUCACUGACACAGAAGUCUAGACUCUGUGUGUGUGUGUGUGUGUGUGUGUGUGUGUGUGUGUGUGUGUUAAGAUUUUUAAAAGGGUUAAGAUUUGCUUUCUCAAAAUGUUAAAAUAUAAUGAUUUUUCAAUCACAAAACAGCUUUUAUUUUAUUUAGUAUUUUUCUGCUGACUUAGGUGGUACAGUUACUGGAGCUUAAUUAUUUGCUUUAACUUACAAGACUGCUAAGCUGUGGAUACGGAUCUUCUGGGUUUCUUUCCCUCCUGAGUUGUAAAGAACUUUAGUAUUUGUCAAGACAGUGAAGAUUAUGUUGUAACCAGUCAUCUGGGUAGAUGCUGAUUUUCCUGCCUACCUCAUCACCAAUUUCUUGAGUGACAUAUAAGUAAAAGGAACACAUUAAAUUUGAAACAAGAGACUGUUGUGAAACAAGGCAAGAUCACAGUCACAUCUUAGCAACCUUGUUGCGUUGUAAAAGUUGCCAUCACAGGUAGUUCUGGCGCUAACCUGGAAACAUUGUGUAACCUUGAUUCUUUUACUGUAAAUACAUCUCCAUCAAUCUGGAUGAGACUAAUCUGUGGAUGGAAUUAUUUAGGUAUUUUCUGAACUGCAAUCAGCAUUUCUAGUUCAAGGCACAGUUGACCCAAUCCAUUGUUCUGUUUGAUCUGCAGUUGUUCCGUUUUGUUUUUAAGACAGGGUCUUCUUAUGUAGCUCUGGUUGUCCAAAACUCACAGAGAUCCUGUCUCUCUGUUUCCUGAGUGUUAGGAAAUAAAAAUGUGCAAUACAAUCCCCAGCCUCUACAUGUGUUUUCUGAGACAGGGUUUCACUAGCUAGCCCAGGCUGUCCUCAAACACAUUAUGUAGCUAAGGAUGGUUCACACCUAUGAUGUUCCUGCCCCAGUCACCCGAGUGUUAGAAUUACAAGCAUGAAUCACAGUAAUGACUACAUCUUUCCUCUUGAUAACUCUUUUUGCUUAUUUGAUCUUGGUUUCUGUGGUAUCAUCUGCCUUUCUUCAAGUGUUCAUAAAGUGUUGAGCUUGAUGAAGAGACUGGAUAGAGAGUAUCAGCAGGAUAUUCUUGCCCAGAUUGUACAUAAAACAAAUUCAUUGAGUCUUAAAACAACCUCUAAGAAAUCACGGUGUGGAAUAUCUAGUUUAAGCACUAACAACAACAUAGAUGCUGCUAAAAUAACUUGGAGCUUGUAAAACUCAGAGGUAAGGUGAGAGUAAAUGGUUUAGUAGGCAUGUGAUGGUUUUAUCCAAUACCACUGUUGAGAUUUUCUGGAAAACAGAAGAAAAAUAUGGUGGAAGUUGAAUAUGUUCAGGUAUUGUUUCAGCCAUACAUCUAAAAAUAGCAGAAGUACAAAAUGAAACUUAAAACUCAUGAGUUGGUGCCUGAGGCUCAGGCCAUCCUAUCUCUGCUGCUAGACCAAUACUAAAAAGACCAAGUAGAGGGCAAAGAGGAAGAAGAAUAAAAAUAACUGUAAGAAAUUAUAAAAGUUAGAAGUUUAUGACCAUUAGUACUUGUUUCUGAGUUUUCAGUAGUUAUUUCAUAACUAAUAACUGUGUUCUUUGUGGAAAAUGUAAUAGUUGCAUACAUUUUGGACAGGUAUGUUUAUGUAUGCCAUGGUGGGAUAAAAGCAUUUUCUGCUCUUUUGUUUGUUUGUGGCUCAUGUCAUUUGUGGGUAUGUCACCUUAUCAUCCAACAGAUUUUGUCACUUUACCAGUGAAAAUUUGAAUUUUUAAUCUAAUUUUUAAACAAAAGAGUACAAGGUAUUCAUUUAUCCAAAAUAUUAAAUGUAUAAUGUGAUAAGUCAGUCUUAGAAUUCUUCAAGGUUUUAGAGUUGUCAAAAGCAAGAAUAUAUUUUGGAAAGCUUUUAGAAAUACUCUAUUUUCCUAUCAUUCUGAAUUUGCCUCCCUUCAGCUUUAUUAAAUAUAUAAGUUUAUUAUUUUACACUGAAACCGCAUGGUUUUAUGUGCUUGUCUUUUAUACGAGUGUAAUGCCCUCUUUUCAGCUCUUUAUAAGUGAUUACAUUACAGUUAAGACAUUCUCUGUUACUUUUAAAAUCAAAUUAUUUAUGGAAAUCUCACCGGGGUAUGAAAAAAAUGACAAUGAAAUAUAAAAGGCUUGUGCAAUAUUCUUUUUACAUCUGAAUACAAUAUUCAUACAAUUAAAAAAUUAAAAUA